rnacentral:tRNA from 1 species
CCUAAUAUGACAGAUUAAUGUAAUAAAUUUAAAUUUUAUAAACAAAAUAUUUAAUAUAUUUUUAUUAGGU